UUAUCGAAUGAAUGUAGAGUCGGUUGUAGCUGGCCUCUUUUAAACGGGAGGCAUGUGCACGCCUUCUCUUUCAUCCACACACACACCUGUGCACCUGUGAGACAACAGAGGACUUUGCGAAAGGUCUUCUGUCUGUCAAAUACAUAAACUCAUAUACUUAUAAACCUGAAUGUAAUCUGAUGUAACGCAUCUAUAAACUAAGUUUCAACAACGGAUCUCUUGGCUCUCGCAUCGAUGAAGAACGCAGCGAAAUGCGAUAAGUAAUGUGAAUUGCAGAAUUCAGUGAAUCAUCGAAUCUUUGAACGCACCUUGCGCUCCUUGGUAUUCCUUGGAGCAUGCCUGUUUGAGUAUCAUGAAAUUAUCAAAACAAGUCCUUCGUUGAUUCGAGGUCGACUUUUUGUUUUGGACUUGGAGGCCUUUGCGGAUUCACGUCCGCUCCUCUCAAACACAUUAGCUGGAUCUCAGUGAACUCGGUUCCACUCGGCGUGAUAAGUAUCACUCGCUGAGGACACUUCCUAAAAAAAAGUGGCCGGGGUCGCGGAUGAACCGCUUCCAACCGGUCUAUUAGCUUAGACAAAAUACUUUAUGAUCUGAUCUCAAAUCAGGUAGGACUACCCGCUGAACUUAA
rnacentral:rRNA from 1 species